rnacentral:miRNA from 1 species
GGGAUAUGCGUGUGUGUGUGUGUGUGUGUGUGUGUGUGUGUGUGUGUGUGUGUUUCCUGGCCUCUGCUCCAGUUUUCAGCCAGAUCCC